rnacentral:rRNA from 1 species
UCCGUGCCAGCAGCCGCGGUAAUACGGAGGAUGCAAGCGUUAUCCGGAUUUAUUAGGUUUAAAGGGUGCGUAGGCGGGACUUUAAGUCAGUGGUGAAAGGCAGUAGCUUAACUAUUGUAAGCCAUUGAUACUGGGGUUCUUGAGUUAGGUAGAGGUAGGCGGAAUGUGUUGUGUAGCGGUGAAAUGCUUAGAUAUAACACAGAACACCGAUUGCGAAGGCAGCUUACUAUGCCUAUACUGACGCUGAUGCACGAAAGCGUGGGGAUCAAACAGGAUUAGAUACCCUGGUAGUCCACGCUGUAAACGAUGAUCACUCGUUGUUGGCGAUAUACAGUCAGCGGCUAAGCGAAAGCGAUAAGUGAUCCACCUGGGGAGUACGUCGGCAACGAUGAAACUCAAAGGAAUUGACGGGGGCCCGCACAAGCGGAGGAACAUGUGGUUUAAUUCGAUGAUACGCGAGGAACCUUACCUGGGCUCGAACGCUUCUGGAAUCACGCCGAAAGGCGUGAGCCGGCAACGGCCGGGAGCGAGGUGCUGCAUGGUUGUCGUCAGCUCGUGCCGUGAGGUGUCGGGUUAAGUCCCAUAACGAGCGCAACCCUCAUUGCCAGUUACCAACACUUAGGGUGGGGACUCUGGCGAAACUGCCGGUGUAAACCGAGAGGAAGGUGGGGAUGACGUCAAAUCAGCACGGCCCUUAUGUCCAGGGCGACACACGUGUUACAAUGGCCAGUACAGAGGGCAGCCACCUGGUGACAGGGCGCUAAUCCCAAAAGCUGGUCUCAGUUCGGAUCGGAGUCUGCAACUCGACUCCGUGAAGCUGGAUUCGCUAGUA